UACGGAGGGUGCAAGCGUUAUCCGGACUUCACUGGGUUUAAAGGGUGCGUAGGAGGGCAGGUAAGUCAGUGGUGAAAUCCUGGGGCUUAACCCCAGACUGCCGUUGAUACUAUCGGUCUUGAAUGUCGUGGAGGUGAGCGGAAUAUGUCAUGUAGCGGUGAAAUGCUUAGAUAUGACAUAGAACACCAAUUGCGAAGGCAGCUUGCUACACGGA
rnacentral:rRNA from 1 species